ensembl:snRNA U6 U6 spliceosomal RNA
UCACUUCAGCAGUGCGUAUACUAAAAUUGGAACUGUAUGAGGAAGAUUAGCAUGGCCCUGUGCAAGGAUGACAUGAAAAUUCAUAAAGCAUUCUAUAUCUAA